UACAGAGGUCUCAAGCGUUGUUCGGAUUCAUUGGGCGUAAAGGGUGCGUAGGCGGCGCGGUAAGUCGGGUGUGAAAUCUCGGAGCUUAACUCCGAAACUGCAUUCGAUACUGCCGUGCUUGAGGACUGGAGAGGAGACUGGAAUUUACGGUGUAGCGGUGAAAUGCGUAGAUAUCGUAAGGAAGACCAGUGGCGAAGGCGGGUCUCGUGGACAGUUCCUGACGCUGAGGCACGGAAGGUCAGGGGGAGCAAAACGGGG
rnacentral:rRNA from 1 species